rnacentral:rRNA from 1 species
CUUUUACAAUGAAGAGUUUGAUCCUGGCUCAGGAUGAACGCUAGCUACAGGCUUAACACAUGCAAGUCGAGGGGCAGCAUUUCAGUUUGCUUGCAAACUGGAGAUGGCGACCGGCGCACGGGUGAGUAACACGUAUCCAACCUGCCGAUAACUCGGGGAUAGCCUUUCGAAAGAAAGAUUAAUACCCGAUGGCAUAAUUAGACCGCAUGGUCUUAUUAUUAAAGAAUUUCGGUUAUCGAUGGGGAUGCGUUCCAUUAGGCAGUUGGUGAGGUAACGGCUCACCAAACCUUC